rnacentral:rRNA from 1 species
AAGGCUUGACAUACACUGUGAGCUGCUAGAGAUAGUGGUGCAUUUGGUUGGUGGUGUACAGGUGGUGCAUGGUU